rnacentral:rRNA from 1 species
UGGGGAAUAUUGCGCAAUGGGCGAAAGCCUGACGCAGCGACGCCGCGUGAGGGAUGAAGGUUUUCGGAUCGUAAACCUCUGUCAGAAGGGAAGAAACCGCACUGUGCUAAUCAGCAGUGCCUUGACGGUACCUUCAAAGGAAGCACCGGCUAACUCCGUGCCAGCAGCCGCGGUAAUACGGAGGGUGCAAGCGUUAAUCGGAAUUACUGGGCGUAAAGCGCACGUAGGCUGCUUUGUAAGUCAGGGGUGAAAUCCCACGGCUCAACCGUGGAACUGCCUUUGAUACUGCUUAGCUUGAAUCCGGGAGAGGGUGGCGGAAUUCCAGGUGUAGGAGUGAAAUCCGUAGAUAUCUGGAGGAACAGCAGUGGCGAAGGCGGCCACCUGGACCGGUAUUGACGCUGAGGUGCGAAAGCGUGGGGAGCAAACAGG